rnacentral:rRNA from 1 species
AUUGAACGCUGGCGGCAUGCUUUACACAUGCAAGUCGAACGGUAACAGGUUAAGCUGACGAGUGGCGAACGGGUGAGUAAUACAUCGGAACGUGCCCAGACGUGGGGGAUAGCUCGGCGAAAGCCGGAUUAAUACCGCAUAAGCUCUGAGGAGGAAAGCGGGGGACCGUAAGGCCUCGCGCGUUUGGAGCGGCCGAUGGCAGAUUAGGUAGUUGGUGGGGUAAAGGCUUACCAAGCCUACGAUCUGUAGCUGGUCUGAGAGGACGACCAGCCACACUGGGACUGAGACACGGCCCAGACUCCUACGGGAGGCAGCAGUGGGGAAUUUUGGACAAUGGGCGCAAGCCUGAUCCAGCAAUGCCGUGUGCAGGAUGAAGGCCUUCGGGUUGUAAACUGCUUUUGUACGGAACGAAAAGGCGCCUACUAAUACUGGGUGUUGAUGACGGUACCGUAAGAAUAAGCACCGGCUAACUACGUGCCAGCCGCCGCAGUAAGAC